CCAUCUUCAACGCUUGGAGAUAUCUGGGUGUGUUAUUCUACCUACUGGGCUACAAUCAUGCACGUCUCUUACCCUACUAACGAUUCAGUUUUGUGAUAAAUUGAAAUCAACUCCAAAUCUAGGACUGUUGCAUUCUCUUACCCAAUUAAAAAUUAGGUAUUGUGAUAAUCUGAUAUCAAUACCUGGUUUAAGAGGAUUGCAUUCUCUUAUCGAAUUACAAAUUUGGUAGUCCUAAAUUGACGAGUCUCCCAGAGGGGUUAGAAUCUCUCACCCGCUUGAAGACUUUGGUGAUUGGCGAGUUUUGUAAGGAGCUGGAUGAUUUCCCGAGUCUCGUUUCUAUCGAACACUUGCACGCAUCCCUGCAACAUUUGGACUUGAAAGGGUGGCCUAAACUUAAGUCUAUUCCGGACAAUAUUUAAGUCUUGACUGCCCUUAAAAGUCUCUACAUAUCUGACUUUGAUGGCAUGGAAACUUUGCCUGAGUGGUUGACCAAGCUUUCUUCUCUUCAAACUCUGCGCAUCUUCAGUUGCUCCAAGUUAAAGGAAAGUUGUGCAAUUGGUGGAAAAGAGCGGUACAAAAUUGCCCAUAUUCCAAAUAUCAUGAUCUGGAUAUAAGUUUCUGAAGCAGUUUGAACAAGCGAAACGGAUGGUUUCAUACAAGACCUGCAUACUGUACUUAAGUGGAUCAUGGGUUAACAUUUUCUCUCCUCAAGAGGUCCAAUUCCCUUACUAAAGAGAUGUUCUCUGGUGUUAGCCAAGUGGAAGGUUUCUUAAACUGGUCAAGAAUUUUUUAGAAGUUAUUGCCAACGUGAUGCUCACUUUACAGCAAAAGUUGGAUAUUGCUUUAUUGUGGUUGCUGCCAAAGUAGCUAACAAUUGCACACAGUCUAGUAGUUGUGUCAAUUUGAUUCCUAUUUGAUUGGAGUUCAUUAAAAUUUUGAUGCAAGGACCUUACUUAUCUCCCUGAAGUGGAUUUCAUGCGUUUGAUCCCCAAAUUGCUAUAUGCCUAUCCAUUCAUAACUGUCUCAAAGUUAAAUAAAUAGAUGUGUUGAGGGCGACGACACAUCUUGGUCCAAAGAUGGGGAAUGGUUUAAAAAGAGGAAUCUGUUUUGAAGUUCACAUAUAUAUUAUCGCAACAGUAUGUGUGGUAUGUUUUCUUAAACUUAAUCCUCAUCUCUUCUCUGAUGCUUUACCAUAAAUCAACCGAUUCUAUUCAUAAUUGCCCUACUUUCUUCCUAUCUCAGUUUAGUUUCCCCCAAUCUUUUUCUUUGUUAAUGAACUAUAUUGUCUUGAUGUGCAUGUGCUAGUGACAACAUAUAUAUUGUAUUUUGCUGGAAGAACAAUUUGACUAAUUCAAUGGAGUUUAGUAGAAGUUUUUAAAGUUGGUAAGGUUUUCUUCUCUUCUCAUUUAUGAAGUAUUAUAUGAAUCCAACAAAUAUACUAUUCAUGCCAAAGAUCCCCUCUUCCCUAUCACUUUUCCUACAACAUAUACAAACCUGUUGCAUAGAAAAAGGAAAAGAAAAUUUUGUCAAUCCAAAAUAUUCUAUGAAUUUCUUUUGACAUGAUUAGUGUUGGUAGUAUUUUAUUAGUACAACUGGAGCAAGAACUUAAGAAAUUUAAUAUUACUUAUAUCCCAACAAUUGGGACCACCAUAUUGUAAUAAUACAAUACAAUUUAUGCUUGAAGGUAACUAAACUUGGCAAAUCAUCACUGUCCUCAUCUUUUUCCUUUGUUUUUUCUAUCUAAAUUGUUGACAUGUUUCGUCUCUCUUAUGAAUCUAGCAACAUCUUGUGUUCUUUAUUUAGCCAUUCAAUCAUUGAAAACCAAGGGGCAUAUACAUUAAGCUUUUGCAUUUGGAAACUUCAAAAGCUAGCUAAUUAAAUUGAGCACUAGAGAUUGUAAGUUCAUAUACGCAAAACAAAGUAAAGGAUUUAUUCAAAUUAUAGAGGGAAUUAUUGUUCUUUUCUUGAUUAUAGACUUUCUCAGUUUUCCAAGUGGGCCCUCUCAGGAUGGGUUCAACUUUUGAAGAACUUGAGGUUCUAUUCUCCUUCAAACUCUGGAAGCUUGACUAGUGUGUGAGCUCAAUUGAAUAAAUUCUUCAAGUUUUUGGAUAUUGAUCCCUGGCCACAUACAUUAACAACAAUAAUUGAGGAAUCUUUUGUGCUUGUUUCAUGUGCUACAACUAUGUUUUCAUAUCAGAUGGUUAUUCAGAAUAAUCACUACAUAUUAUAAUCCUUUGUGUAUAUAGUUGGGUAACAAUCCUUUUGCAUUUGUGGAAUUUAAAUUGUUUAAUCUAUUACUGAUGGCCCUAGUAUCCCAUUGUAGAUGAAAUGGGAAGAUUCUACUUAGGAACAGCGUAUAGCAAUUGUGAUUCCUCAUAGCUGAUGUAUGUGCUCCCAUACAAUGCCUAACCACAUUAUGGAAGCUAUUAGACAUUUGAUUGUCCAAGAUUUUCAUCAUUAAAAGGAAGGAUGUACCGAAGGUAAUGCCCCAGGUUUUCCAAGAUUGUCAUCUAAAGCAGAUAAACUGUUAUGUCACCCACCUAGAAGCAUCUUGAAGCUUAUGUGAUAUCAGAAAAAGCUAGUGGAAGACUUGAUUCUUGAAUUUCAACCAAGGUCCACUAAUGCAUGAACAGUGGAAAAUUGACAGCAAUGAGGAGCUUGAUGAUGCGUGCAUGUUAUAUGGAGUUCUUUAAGUGUACAAUAUAAGGAAGUUCGACUUGAAAUUCAAAACAAAUUGAACAAGUGGGUUAGCCUAUUUUUUCUUUUGAGAUCAAAUUAUAAUGAUCAACUGGAACCAUAACUUGUGUAUGUAUCUGCAAUUGUUGAUUGGGUAUAUUUAGUAUCACCAGCGACAAUGCAUCAAGCAUGGCCUAGGCUUUCCUUUGGUUUACACUUUAUGCCAUGGUUGCUUCCAUUUCCUAUCUAUAUAAUCAGAAAUAGCUCUUUUCUUUCUUGAAUAUAUUCAGUUUCUGACAAUUUGUCCCCUUUUCAAAUUUUAUGUUAUGGCUCCCUAACUUAAAGUUGCCGUAGUAGUGACUUCAACACUUUUAUAGAUUCUGAGAUUUGUGCAAGAAAUUGAAGAGUCCAAUAAGGAAGAACAACUUGAAACUCGAAUUUGAUGCAUUUUUGCCUGAGAUCAAGUUAUGGAUUUUGACUUUUGGCAGAAGAUAAAGUUCCCAAUAAAGAGGAGAAUGUUGAAAUUUGAAUAUGGGUUUUGCUUACUGCCCAAACAUAGAAUGGAUAGCUAAUGUAUUGCACUUGUUGAACAAGAUUCUAUGGUUGGUCCACAAUCCUUAAUUGGAUACUGAAGGAAUCCAUGGACUCAUCUCGUAGUUCCUACUAGUUGGCACCAGAAUGUUGACAACCAACAAUAUGUAAUGUGAGGCUUAGCUUUUACACCAUUUCCUAUCUAUAUACUAAGCAAUGGAUCCUUUUUACUAAACAGAAUUCGUAUUUAUUCAUCCACCUAUUGAAUCUUAUGUUGUUAUCAUGGCUUCAGCCAGCGACUUCAACAUUUUACUGUACAUUGAGUCUUCUCUUUUCAUCAGCCUAGCUGUCCUACUUAAGAGGCGAACUUGUUUGCUGUCAUACAAAUGUUUGGAGGAUAUUUCCCUACAGUUAGUAGUUAAAGUAAUGGACGUAUUUCUAUGUAAGUUGACUUAUAUUUGUUAUCAAUUAGUAACAUAUGGUUUAGACAUUAAUUGUACUAGUCGCUAACCCAUGCGAUGCACGGGAAAGCUACCAAUUUUUUUCCAAAUGAUGUGACAUUAGCUAUUGGAAUUCAA